GUAGGUGGCAAGCGUUGUCCGGGAAUUAUUGGGGCGUAAAGCGCGCGCAGGCGGUUCUUUAAGUCUGAUGUGAAAGCCCACGGGCUCAACCGUGGAGGGUCAUUGGAAACUGGAGAACUUGAGUACAGAAGAGGAAAGCGGAAAUCCACGUGUAGCGGUGAAAUGCGUAGAGAUGUGGAGGAACACCAGUGGCGAAGGCAGCUUUCUGGUCUGUAACUGACGCUGAGGCGCGAAAGCGUGGGGAGCAAACAGGAUUAGAUACCCUGGUAGUCCACGCCGUAAACGAUGAGUGCUAAGUGUUAGGGGGUUUCCGCCCCUUAGUGCUGCAGCUAACGCAUUAAGCACUCCGCCUGGGGAGUACGGCCGCAAAGGCUG
rnacentral:rRNA from 1 species